GCUUUCAGGCCUUUCAGUUGCUCGAGUUUGCUGCAUCCACCAGCUCUUCGCACUACAAGAUGUCGAGAAGAAUAUCAGAAUCGGUUCCCGUUUCUAGCGCCUUCUAUAUAUUAAGAAUUGAUUGGUGUUUAUGAUGACAAUAGCCUCAAUUUUACGAUCGCAUAAUUAUGUGAUAUCACUCAGCGCCUGAAAACUUGUUGAGGGUGUCGCUGCUUUAAAACGGAAGAGGACGCUACCGCCAUGCUAAUAUAGAAAGGAAGUCUAUCAUAACCAACCUGAAGUGUGCACAUCGUAGCCAAGAUCAAAAUUUUGAAAAUAUUUUUAAAUUUUCUUUUGCAGGAGACUGAUUCUUACAACAAGAUUCCCACAUGAAUUUGGUGUUCAGUUAGGAUUGAAGCGCGAUAUUCGCGUUGACCCCAAUAGGGCGGUAUCUGCAAUAUGGAAUUAGACCUUAACAUUUUUUUCAGUUUGAUCGCUGCGUUGCGUUAAGGCGUUGGAAUAAUCCUCUUUUGAAGGAAAACAAAAAGCGAUGUCAAGGUGGUAGUUAAAUUUUUCGAAACCAUUACCAUGUAUUUUUCAGAUGAAAGCAGUCGAUUGCGUUAGGAUUUGAAAUAUUGAAACUAGAGAAUUUUUAUCGCUGCACCCGUAAUAGUGACCACGGUUACGGAGCCUAAAUUAAGGCGGUAGUAUUUUCUCGUGGAGUACUUUUAUGGAUUUUACAGACGAAAGCAGCUAUGUCCAUUAAUGAUGCACCCGGUGCACAAGCGAUAACAAAUUAGUCCUUGUUUGGGCGAGAAGCUAUCAACAGCGGUAGGAUAACAUCGUUUCGUAUUACUAUUAUUUUGCAGAUGAAGCGGUUCACUUUUCGUCGUGUUGAGUAAUAAAUAUCAGCUGGGCCUAAUAUUGAAAGGCAGUUACAAAGAACAAAAUAAUACAAAGCGGUAGGGUAAAGUAGUCUUGCCAUCAUGUGUUUUUGCAGAUGUAGCUGAUCUAAAUCCAUCCAGUAUAGAAAAUUGUCUCGGUUUAUACUAUGGCUAUAAAUUUGCGGUAGGGAAUAUUCGAUUUUUUGCGCUCAUGUUUUCUUGCAGAUUAAGCGGUUUUGUCAUCUUUGGAAUCGACCCUUCAGCCGCGGCUGAUGAAUUUAAGACAUGUAUAAUAGUCAGGAAAAAGCUCAAAACGUGGUAGGGAAAAGCUCAAAAUUCCCAAUUACGAGUUCUUUUGCAGAUGACGCCGAAUGGUCUGCAGUUGCGUUGAAAAGCUGCAGUUGUUGAGAAAUUGUAGAAAAAAGAACAGUAUAUCAUUAGGGUUCGUGGGGGGUUCCCUAAUAACCUCUUUAGAGUUUUCAGGUCGUUAGACUGACUGGUGAUAUUAAGCCUGUCAACACGUUUAGGCGGCAAUUGUGUCCAGUUGUAAUUAUCGGUUGAUUGUUAUUGCAGCCUUGAUUGAAUGGUAAUGAGAAUGGGUGGGGUUUAAACUAACUUUCGUUGCUAACAGAAGGCAGCUGCUUGGAAAGAAAAAUAGUCCCCAGUCUAGUAGGUUUUGCCAGGACGAAGCGUGCGUGUGGAUCGCUCGGUUUAUCAACUCUAUCGACAGUCAAGUUGAAGAUUCUGCCUGCUGGGCCGUAGAAGCAGCAGAAAAUCAAGAUACGAUGACACAAAUUUAAAAUUGCAUCAUUUGUUUGGGGGCGGGGAACUUCUAAUCCCUCUGUUGUCAGUCAGGGUGAAGGCGCCCUUCGCGUGAAGUCCCUAAUCAUAAGCAGCACUCUCGCCUUAUGUAAAUUCCUUGUAUCGUGCCGAUUUGAAGCUCCAACGUGAAGAUUGCGUAAGACGGAAUUUUGAUUAUCAUCUUGAACCAUUGUUCGACAGGAGCGGAAAUGCCUUUGCGACAAGCCACCCGUAUCUGAAGUCCCCGUUAGAGAUAAACCAUGUGAAAAUGAAACGAACGUAACAAUGUUAGGGUGGGGGCGAGGGUUCAUUAACCUUCUUUUGUCUCCAGAACCGUUCAGCAGUAUGAUUUAGCAGACUCGAGAGUUAAAAAUACAAGUGCCUCGUGCCGUCUCCCUGAAGGAGCUGAAAUAAGUUUAUCAGAUAAUAUUUCUGGCGUUUGGGAGGGGUUUCGUAACCUGCUGAUUGCAGUUCCUGUCUGUCAACAGUAGAGCAACCCUAUGCAAGUUUUUCGGAAUCACAAGAUAGCGACGAGAUUCGACCCAUUCACAAUUCCCGGUUGGUGAUCUGCGUUUAAAGCAGCUGAAUCUAGAAGAUAUAAUAUGUCGGUCGGUCUGAUAAUUUAAUUAGGUCAUUGCUGGGUGGGGGGAAAGGGGUUCAAGUUAACCCGUUUUGAGAUUUCAGCCAAUCCUGCUAUGCACCGACGCUGAUUAAAGAAUAUCUACCUGCUACGCGUUUGAAGAAGAAUCGAGUAUCACGAGAAUGUGGAGUCUGCCUUAGUAUUCGGGAACAGAACGUUACCCUCCUGGUCGAGAAAACGCGGAAGCAGUCAAGCCUGCUACAGGAUCCUCCUUAAAUGCAUUGAUGCCCCUUUCCGGUUUGCUUGCGGAAGAAGUCAACAAAUACUCCACUUGCUUUUCUUAUCGGUCAGGUAGACAGACUAAGGAGAGUCUGAUAUAAUUUCCAUGUUUGGGUGGGGUGGGGGUUUGUAAUUAACCCGACUUUUGCUGUGGCACAGUUUGGAGCACCCAACUGAAGUAAGGCCACGACUUAAGAGAAAUCUGCCCCGGAAUUGGGAUGCCAAGGAGCGCCGAAACAUUUCACCGGGAGCGUUUGGCUGCACGUAACGUCUUACCAAGCAGAAAGAACAUGACUCGCACGAAAAUGAUGUACGAUGAUCAGCCGUCCAUGCCUCUGUUUCUAUAUUCGCUCGACCAGCUCAAUGCAGAAAGAAAAGAUAUCCAGUUUCAUUGUCUAGGUAGUUAGGAUCAGAGGGGGGUACUAAUGUCUUGUUUUUCAGCUUUCCCAUUCCCCGGUUCGCGUGAGGUGUGUCCUAAGCAUAGAUCGCGUGCAUUGUCCUGAGCUGGUAUCCAUUGUGGCCGUGCCUGAGCAGCAGCGGGCCUUUGCAGAGCUGGUGACCGAGCAGCCAGUCCCGUGCGUCCGUCAGUAGAGCAUUCAUUCCUGGGGUUACGAGCGAGAGGCUGGAUAGGGAGAAAGAAGUCGCGUCAUUCGCACCGAGCCGAGUAGAAAAAGAAGAUAAGUCCUCGCGUUUUUCACCGUUCGCGCUGAGAGUCUCCGUGGGUCCGGAUUCCGAAAAUUGGGUGCAUUACGCCCCUUCCUCCGAUACUUUCGUCCCGUCAUUACUUCUAUUCAGUUGGUCACUUUCGUCGUCGUCGCGUUUUUUUUUUGGGUCCCCGUUAGGCAGGAGAAGAAAGAAGAGAACCGUCCUCGUGGAAGACGAUGGCCUGGUGAAGAAGAAGACGGCCUGGCGCAGAAGCAGAUGGCAUGCAGACGAAGAAGACGGCCUGGAGAAGAAGAAGACGCCGGACAUCCAGGACAGAUGCUAACUUGUGCCCACCCUGGGCUCGACGAGAGUCUCAACGCCAGCGCUUCCUGCGCUAAUUGGGGGGUUUCUGGCCAGCUAAAUGCGGGUCCAGAAAGGUGGCUCAGGCCACGGGGGACGGGGGGCUCGUGCUUGAAGGCACGGUGAGGAUAGAAGAUGGCACCCCUUAAAAUAAUAAAACGCACGUGGCAAUCAACCCUGGAACCCCUAUUUUGCGGACUCCUGUUUCAUCUAUGAGAUCAAGAGAUUAUUUUUGUCGCAGUUGGAUAAGAGCUGAUGCCCAGGCAAGCAAAGAUUGAUCUUCGCAACGUGCGGGAGCUGUCCUCAUGCAGUCCCCGGCCGGGGGGUUUGCCAAGUGCAGCCCGUCGGCCACAGCAGCACGGCUAUGCCUGCGACAUUCUGUCCGCAGACGGGGCUUGGGCCCCUGGAAAAUUGUCGCCAGUGUCAGGCUGGCCAUUAGGCCGCCCGGUCGGUGACAAUUUCCAGCCCAUCCCGUCUCCUGCGACCAUUGAACUUCUGCAUUCUGACUGUCCUGAACGAUCCCCUACAUUAUUAGGAGUUGUGGCAUCGUUUUGGAUGGUGGAAUGUAGAGGUAGAUGGUUACAGGGGGCAUAUGCCGUUUGCUCUGUGCCGUGUCACUCGGGGCGCGACAUGAUGGAAAUGCAGCCCAAUCAUGCAAUAUGAACUGGAGGCCAUCGCUUAACCUGGAUAAUUGGGGAAAUUUUGUUCGACUGGAGUGAACCUUCCGCCAAAAGGAGAUUGUAUGUGAGUGUGCUUGGAUCGUUUCAACGUGGGACCAGAGGAAUUUCCCCAUUCCUUCUGCAAACUUCCUUUACAACCGUGUCGCAUACCGGAGUCUCGCAACUUCGGUGCCAAAGAGUGACCGGCAUAAAAUCAGCUCGACCUUAAUUUCCAUACUGACUGUGAUGUUUUAAACACAGUCGGUUGGAAAAGAAUGGUGAACGUUUACAAUCACCAUUCAACCAAGUUUUUUCUCCCUUUCAUUUAGACUUUAAUUGAAAGGGUUUUCUUGGUUAUGAAAUUACCAAUUACUUAUGGUAGUUUCUGACACCAAUUUUUCCCUUAAUAUUUCCCAUUCUAAGGGUUUUUAUUGGUUGUAAAAGAGAUAUGAAAUUACAUAAUUAUUGUAAAAUUUUACCAAAGUGGAAACCAAUUUUUUGUCCCUGUUGUAGGGUUUUAAUGGUUGUAAUAUUUGGAUUAAGAAAAUGUGAUAAUGUAUCAGAACUAAACCAAUUUUUCUCCCUAGCUCUAAAAUUCUAGGGGUUUUCUUUGGUUUUCAAAUCUUCUGACCUUGACAUCUGCAAAAUCUGUAUCUGGUUUUAUGCUCUCGUCUAGAAUUCCAGAUAAAAUCGAGCUUCACUCCAUCGCAAUGUGUUCCUGACAGUUAUAGUUAUGUGCAAUUAUACCGAAAAGUGUUUGCUGUGUACUUGAUUAUAAUUUAUUGUUCAUUAUAUUUGGAAAAAAUUGAUUAAAAAAUGUAUUUAUAAAUUGACUUGCUGGUCGUCAGCUUUUAAUUAACAACUUUUUCGCAAUAAAAGUUUCCCCCCCCCCUCCCGACGUCUUCCCGCGCUACCUUGAUUCCGAUCAUCCAGAACGUCUAGAUUUGGCAAGUAGAACAACCAAUUUUGAAUUGUAGUGAUCUGGAUGGAUAUAAAUAUUAAAGUAGAGUCAAAUCCGUGCCUUUUAGAAUUUUAAUAAUUAUUCCCUAGUCAUUUACAUUUAAUAGUAUACAUUUUAGAAUAUUUUAGAUCCUUUAUUAAAUUGCCCCAGCCAUCCAGAUUAGUUUUAACGUAAAUUAUUGGCACUAAAGAAAAGAAAAUUAAAUAUAGAUUUACGCUUGAUUAUUUUGUAUAUUUCCUUGAGCUUGCCGCCUACCUAGGCUAAGAGGAGAGACCACCCGGCCGCUGCACCUUCUACUUGGCAUGGGAACGCUGAUCCGAGAGCCAGACCGAGCGAGAUCCCUUUCUCAUCUAGGAGAUGCCGACGUUAGUUCUCACCGGGGACGAGCCCUUCUACUGUAUGGCCAGGGUUAGGCUACGCUAGAGGUCCGCAGAGACCGAAGGAGAACUGACGUGAGGAUGGAACACCACUGCGUUGAGCCUUAGCGAGAGUGCUCGGAACGGCUAACUAUACACCGAUGCAGCCUACUUCUUCUGUCGGGAAAGAGAAGCAAAAUAAUGGGAGCCCUGAGCACAGGAGCGAGUGCCCUAGCAGCGAUGAACUGGAGUCUUGACCACGACGAGAAGAAGAAAACACCACACUACAAGAAAGCAGUACACUCACAUAUACACAAUUCCUGUCAGAUUGAAACGAAAUAAACGAAAAAGAGACCGGAGGAGAACUGACGUGAGGAUGGAACACCACUGCGUUGAGCCUUAGCGAGAGUGCUCGGAACGGCUAACUAUACACCGAUGCAGCCUACUUCUUCUGUCGGGAAAGAGAAGCAAAAUAAUGGGAGCCCUGAGCACAGGAGCGAGUGCCCUAGCAGCGAUGAACCGGAGUCUUGACCACGACGAGAAGAAGAAAACACCACACUACAAGAAAGCAGUACACUCACAUAUACACAAUUCCUGUCAGAUUGAAACGAAAUAAACGAAAAAGAGACCGGAGGAGAACUGACGUGAGGAUGGAACACCACUGCGUUGAGCCUUAGCGAGAGUGCUCGGAACGGCUAACUAUACACCGAUGCAGCCUACUUCUUCUGUCGGGAAAGAGAAGCAAAAUAAUGGGAGCCCUGAGCACAGGAGCGAGUGCCCUAGCAGCGAUGAACCGGAGUCUUGACCACGACGAGAAGAAGAAAACACCACACUACAAGAAAGCAGUACACUCACAUAUACACAAUUCCUGUCAGAUUGAAACGAAAUAAACGAAAAAGAGACCGGAGGAGAACUGACGUGAGGAUGGAACACCACUGCGUUGAGCCUUAGCGAGAGUGCUCGGAACGGCUAACUAUACACCGAUGCAGCCUACUUCUUCUGUCGGGAAAGAGAAGCAAAAUAAUGGGAGCCCUGAGCACAGGAGCGAGUGCCCUAGCAGCGAUGAACCGGAGUCUUGACCACGACGAGAAGAAGAAAACACCACACUACAAGAAAGCAGUACACCCACAUAUACACAAUUCCUGUCAGAUUGAAACGAAAUAAACGAAAAAGAGACCGGAGGAGAACUGACGUGAGGAUGGAACACCACUGCGUUGAGCCUUAGCGAGAGUGCUCGGGACGGCUAACUAUACACCGAUGCAGCCUACUUCUUCUGUCGGGAAAGAGAAGCAAAAUAAUGGGAGCCCUGAGCACAGGAGCGAGUGCCCUAGCAGCGAUGAACCGGAGUCUUGACCACGACGAGAAGAAGAAAACACCACACUACAAGAAAGCAGUACACCCACAUAUACACAAUUCCUGUCAGAUUGAAACGAAAUAAACGAAAAAGAGACCGGAGGAGAACUGACGUGAGGAUGGAACACCACUGCGUUGAGCCUUAGCGAGAGUGCUCGGGACGGCUAACUAUACACCGAUGCAGCCUACUUCUUCUGUCGGGAAAGAGAAGCAAAAUAAUGGGAGCCCUGAGCACAGCAGCGAGUGCCCUAGCAGCGAUGAACCGGAGUCUUGACCACUACGAGAAGAAGAAAACACCACACUACAAGAAAGCAGUACACCCACAUAUACACAAUUCCUGUCAGAUUGAAACGAAAUAAAGUUGCCUGAUUGCUUCUACAGCGGA